rnacentral:lncRNA from 1 species
UUACUGAGAAAAAUAUUCAAUCGGUUAUACAUUUUCUUAAUCUGGAUAAUCGUUUAAAGCUUGACAAAUAUUUCAUAACACAGUUUUAUUUUCUCUCAAUCGAUUUAUAACUAUUGAACAGCGGUAUCACUACAAACCAGUAAAAGUCUGAAAUAUCUGUACUCAACUGUACUGAACUUUACUCAACCAGUCUGAAUUGGUCUGAAAUUUACUAGAUAAAACUCGACUGUAGUCUUAACCAUACUUCAUAGUCUGAACUUGUACGUAACCAGUUUAAAUGCGUCUAAACCAUGCCUUACUUAGUCUGAACCAUACUCGACAUAGUCUGAACCAUACUAGACCUAGUCUAAACCAUACUCGACAUAGUCUGAACCAUCCUCGACCUCGUCUGAACAAUAUUCGAUCAGGUUUUAACCAACUUAGACCAUUUCUUUUGUAUCUAUACAUUGUACUUUUUUCAAUUUAGGAAGUGGAAAUUUAGACAACAAUAACAAAUUAUAAAUUAAUUUUAUUUAGCAUUUAAACCAAAUUUCACAAUAAACAUAAUCUUACCGUAACACCA